CGGACGGGUGAGUAACGCGUGAGUAACCUGCCUUACACAAGGGGAUAGCCGUUGGAAACGACGAAUAAUACCCUAUGACAUAAACUCUUCGCAUGAGGAGCUUAUCAAAGAUUUAUCGGUGUAAGAUGGACUCGCGUCUGAUUAGCUAGUUGGUGAGGUAACGGCCCACCAAGGCGACGAUCAGUAGCCGGCUUGAGAGAGUGUACGGCCACAUUGGGACUGAGACACGGCCCAGACUCCUACGGGAGGCAGCAGUG
rnacentral:rRNA from 1 species